UUAGCUGAUCAUACAGUUAUUAUGGGUAAGUUUGAAGUGUAGUAUCUAUUCUUAUCAGCUUAACAUAUGAUAGAUUCUUCAUCGAAGGACAAGAAAUGUUGAACUGAUUUUUGGAAUCAGACAUAGUGUUUAGGGGUUUGCGCCACCUCUGUCGCGGAUUGGCCUGGUAUUGCACUACAGCUGGAAUAUACCGCAAUAA